rnacentral:rRNA from 1 species
AUGAGCCUUACUUAUUAUUUAGUUCUGAUAAAUAUGUCUAUUCUCUCCUUUCAGCAAGCUGCUCUCGUGCUGAAUGCUUCACGUCGCUUUAGAUAUACUCUAGACCUUAAAAAGGAGGAAGAGAAAGAGAUAAUAAGAAGAACGAUCCGAUCACAUGCACAAGUGAUACGGGCAGUAUUUCUUUUCAAAGAAGCUGGAGAAAAUGAUCCCAGAGCUUAUACUGGUAUACAACUUGCAACUGGCUCUCGAAGUUUUCCAAUUGAAUUGGAAAAGCUUAAAACUUUAAACAGAGAUCAUGAUAGUGUUCUUCUUCAGGAAACUAGAGGAGUUAAGGGGCUGUCAGAUUUAUUAAAGAGUAAUUUAGACAUGGGAAUUAAUCCAACUGAGGAUGAAUUGUUACAAAGGAGGGAUGUUUUCGGAGCAAAUACAUAUCCACGCAAGAAAAGAAAAAACAUACUGCGUUUUAUAUUUGAUGCAUGCAAAGAUUUAACUCUCAUCAUUCUAAUGGUAGCUGCUGCCAUAUCUCUUACGUUGGGCAUGGCCACAGAGGGUGUUGAGGAAGGAUGGUAUGAGGGGGGAAGUAUUUUUUUAGCUGUUUUUCUUGUGAUACUUGUCACCGCAACCAGUGAUUACAGGCAAUCACUUCAAUUUCAACAUCUGAAUGAGGAGAAACAGAACAUACAAGUAGAGGUUCUUAGAGGUGGUAAAAGAUUUCGAACUUCAAUAUUUGAGCUUGUUGUCGGUGAUGUGGUUCCGCUGAAUAUUGGUGACCAAGUUCCUGCUGAUGGUAUCCUGAUAUCUGGCCAUUCUCUUGCAAUAGACGAAUCAAGUAUGACUGGGGAAUCAAAAACUGUUCACAAGGAUCAAAAGGCUCCGUUCUUGAUGUCUGGUUGCAAGGUUGCAGAUGGCUAUGGUUCUAUGUUGGUAACAGGUGUGGGUAUCAACACUGAAUGGGGCCAGUUGAUGGCUAACCUUUCUGAAGAUAAUGGUGAAGAAACCCCAUUGCAGGUGCGUUUGAAUGGUGUUGCUACUUUUAUUGGCAUGGUGGGUCUGUCAGUAGCUGGUGUUGUACUUGGCGUGCUUGCGAUAAGAUAUUUUACUGGACAUACCAAGAAUCCGGAUGGGACUGUUCAAUUUCGGGCUGAAACUACUGGUCUCAAACAAGGAUUUAUGGGUGCAAUCAGAAUUUUAACAAUCGCCGUAACCAUCGUAGUUGUUGCUGUGCCUGAGGGACUUCCACUGGCAGUAACAUUGACACUUGCGUAUUCAAUGCGAAAGAUGAUGCGAGACAAGGCGCUGGUGAGGCGGCUCUCAUCUUGUGAAACAAUGGGAUCAGCAACUACUAUAUGCAGUGAUAAGACAGGAACUCUCACCUUGAAUAAGAUGACAGUUGUGGAGGCACACUUUAUCGGGACAAGGUUGGAUCCUUGUGAUGAUGUUAGGGCAAUCUCAAGCAGUUCAGCGGCACUGCUUAUUGAAGGAAUUGCACAAAACACUACAGGAACUGUAUUUUUGCCAGAGGAUGGGGGAGCAGCUGAUGUUACAGGUUCACCAACUGAAAAAGCCAUUCUUUCUUGGGGCCUUAAGAUAGGGAUGGAUUUCAACGAUGUUCGGUCAAAAUCUUCAGUUCUUCAUGUAUUUCCAUUUAACUCAGAGAAGAAGCGAGGUGGUGUUGCAGUGCAGGUAUCAGAUACCGGGGUCCACAUCCAUUGGAAAGGUGCAGCUGAGUUAGUGCUAUCAUCUUGCAAAAGUUGGCUUUCUCUGGAUGGUUCAGUUCAGCCAAUGGAUGCACAGAAGCGUAAUGUGUACAAGAGAUCAAUUGAAGACAUGGCAAAGAGUUCACUACGAUGUGUUGCUUUUGCAUAUUGUCAAUGUGAUAUUGAAAAAAUUCCGAAGGAAGACAUAGCUGAUUGGAAGUUACCUGAGGAAGAUCUGACUCUGCUUGGUAUUGUGGGCAUAAAGGAUCCAUGUCGCCCAGGAGUGAGGAAUGCUGUACAAUUAUGCAAAAAUGCUGGUGUAAAGGUGCGCAUGGUCACAGGAGAUAAUAUUGAAACAGCCAAGGCAAUAGCGUUGGAGUGCGGAAUACUAGAUGCAAAUGGUGUUAUUUCAGAGCCAUUUGUAAUAGAGGGAAAAGCGUUCCGCGAGAUGUCUGAAAUUGCAAGAGGAGAGAUUGCUGACAAGAUAACUGUCAUGGGAAGAUCAUCUCCAAAUGACAAACUUUUGCUUGUCCAAGCUUUGAAAAGGAAAGGCCAUGUUGUGGCUGUCACUGGUGAUGGCACAAAUGAUGCCCCUGCAUUGCAUGAGGCUGAUAUAGGUCUUGCAAUGGGCAUGUCAGGGACAGAAGUUGCUAAAGAAAGCUCUGACAUUAUAAUCUUGGAUGAUGACUUCACAUCUGUUGUGAAGGUUGUUCGCUGGGGACGCUCUGUCUAUGCAAAUAUUCAGAAAUUCAUCCAGUUCCAGCUUACUGUUAACGUUGCCGCACUUGUGAUUAAUGUUAUUGCAGCUGUGUCAUCUGGUGACGUGCCUCUAAAUGCUGUUGAGCUUCUCUGGGUGAACCUUAUCAUGGAUACACUGGGAGCUCUUGCUUUAGCAACUGAACCACCAACAGACAACCUUAUGAAGAGACAGCCUGUUGGUCGAAGGGAGCCACUUGUGACCAAUAUUAUGUGGAGAAACUUGUUUGUCCAGGCCAUUUACCAAAUAGCAAUCCUUCUUAUCUUUAAUUUCUCUGGAAAAAAGAUUCUACGGCUGCAGAAUGAAAGUCCAGAUAACGCCGAGAAAAUGAAGAACACAUUUAUCUUCAAUACAUUUGUAUUUUGCCAGAUCUUCAACGAGUUCAAUGCGCGUAAGCCUGAGGAAAGGAAUGUCUUCAAAGGAGUAACAAAGAACCACCUCUUCAUGGGAAUAGUUUGUGUAACUACCGUGUUUCAGAUACUAAUAGUUGAAUUCCUGGGAAAGUUCUUUAAAAUUGUGAGACUUAACUGGAGUCUAUGGUUAGUUUCAGUUGCCAUUGGCGUCGUAAGCUGGCCUUUGGCUUACCUAGGGAAAUUCAUUCCUGUUCCUGUAAGACCUCUCCAGGCCUAUUUCAAGCCUUGUUGGAAAUCAUCACGUCGAGGUAAGUCUCCACUCUAUAGUUACUGGAUAAUGUUCUGCAUCAACGUUGGUCUAACUAGCUUACCAUUAACGCGUACUGUAACGCAGACGAGGAGGAAGGCAGGCAGGGCUAAAAAGGAUGCAAAUCACCUGGUGUAA